AAUGCAUAAUUCGGCAGAACAGAUGAUGAAGACUACCUGCCGGGAUUUGCAUCCACCUUUUUUCUCAACAUAAAUGAGCGUUACCAGCUGCCACGUGCAGGAAAUUCUCGCAGGUAUGCAGAGCUCUGCACAAACGGGCAAGAGGCCGACAGCAGAAACAGCUGAUAAGACUUUUCGCAGGAGAAGCGGCUGUAGGUCCUGGUCGGCACCUUAAGGCUGCCAUACCUCGCCAUGGGGGCCUGUCACCUUGAUAAAGACAACUAAGUUGGUACAGCAAUCAACUGGAGGUCCAUAAACUUCCAGAAGACUAAAGGACAUGCGCACUCUGUCAUAAAGGCGAGGUGGAGCGGACUGCUUCACAGUGACAACUCAGACAUCCUGACACUGUUUUAACCCCUCUCUCCCUCUGGGUGCCAUUCACUCUGAGUCAGACAACCUGACUCAGUUCCCUUUUCUGCUACUGGUAGAGAGGUAGACCAGCAACAUAAAAGUCAGAAAUGGAACCUUUUAUAUUUAUAUUAACUUGGGGGAACUCUA